GAUGGUAGGCAUGGUCCUAUAGAGUUAACAUGUUGCUGUCCUGAUAGAGGUUAGUUACAUGUUCUGGUCCUAUAAGAGGGUAGUUACAUGUUGCUGGGUCCUGAUAGAGGGUAUGGUAACAUGUUGCUGGUCUUAUAGAGGGUAGUUAACAUGUUGCUGGUCCUAUAGAGGGUAGUAACAGUGUUUCUGUACCUGUAAGGGGUGUUUAACAUGUUGCUGUCAGGUGUACGUGCGUCUAUAGAGGUAGUGAAACAUGUUGCUGCCUAUAGAGGUAGUUACAUGUUGCGGUCCUGUAGAGUGUGUUGCUGUGUCCUAUAGAGGGUUAGUUAGUAUGUCGCUGGUCCUAUAGAGGGUAGUAGCAUGUCUGGUCCUAUAGAGGGUAGGUAACCAUGUUGCUGGUCCUAUAGAGCGGUAGUUAACAUGUUCUGGUUCCUAUAGAGGUAGUUUAGCAUGUUUGCUGGUCUAUCGAGGGUAGUUAACAUUGUUGCUGGUCCUAUAGAGGUUAGUUAGCAUGUUGCUGGUCCUAUAGAGGGUAGGUAAACAUGUUGCUGGGUCCUAUUAGCAAGGGUAGGUAACAUGUUGGCUUGUCUUAUAGAGGUAUUUGUAUG
rnacentral:lncRNA from 1 species